GACAGAGGGUGCAAACGUUGUUCGGAAUUACUGGGCGUAAAGCGCGUGUAGGUGGCGAGGCAAGUCGGGUGUGAAAGCCCUGGGCUCAACCCAGGAAGUGCACUCGAUACUGCCUAGCUAGAGUCCCGGAGAGGUUGGUGGAACUCUCGGUGUAGAGGUGAAAUUCGUAGAUAUCGAGAAGAACACCGGUGGCGAAGGCGGCCAACUGGACGGUGACUGACACUGAGACGCGAAAGCGUGGGAGCAACAGG
rnacentral:rRNA from 1 species